UAAAAUACAGACAAGACAGGACACUAACACGAAUUGCCACCUCCAAAGUGACAAUGACUUGGUAUUCUCUUUUUUUGUCUUUUAUAAACAUAAGAACAAAAUUGGUAUCGGCUAUUUCCACCUAACAAAACUAAGGCAUUUGCUUAAAAUUUCAAAAAAAAAAAAAAAACUAAGGCAACGUGGCCUUAUAGAGAGAGUCCACGACUGAACUCUCACCAUAAACCCAAUCCCUUCUCUUGGGGCUCGAAAUCAAGAAGUUUGGAGAAGAAAAUAUUGCGAUAAAGAUGGAGAGUGAGAAAAUGGAAGAAGCUUAGUGAAGAAGUAGAAUAAUGGAAAUGACAUUGCAUUGAAUGGAGUUUCAAAAUUACCAGUUUCGAAGAGGUUUGGAUGAAGAGGACAAUGGAUGAGUUUGGUCAACAAAAUGGCUGGUUCAAGCCAAGUGGACGACGACAGCUUGAGGGACCAAGACACUGAUUCGGUGAAGGGUUCUCCGUGUCUUCUUGUCAAAUGGUUGGCAGAAAGCAUUUUGAGAUCAGAUUCUGAAGUCAUCAAAUGUUAGCCAGCACUGUACAAGUUACUGCUGCACUCAAAUCGUUUCUUCAUGAGGUGCCCGCUUUGGUAACAUGUCUCUUUCUCAUUCUUGAGGUUGAGAAAUUACAUCAACAGGGGAGAUUGAUACCAUGAACUGCUUGAAUUAAAGGUGGUGAGCUGUAUUGUGGAAGUCCAUGUGCUAAUGAAUUUAAAAAUCUUAAGUUGACAUUGUUAUGUACCCCCCGUACGAAAAGUGAGAACUGUAAGUAUUAUUUUAUGCACUCUUUCUUUUCUUUCUUUUUUUCACUCGCUAGUUUGAUUAGAUGUCAAGAAUAAUCAUGCAUAUAUACAGUCUCCUCCACACUGCUCUGUCAUGAUGAUUAGAUUACAGUUUAGCUUUUGUUUUUUGGUAUAAUUUUAAUAGAGGACGGUUUGCAUGUGAUCUUUGUCCUGAUAUAUGUUUUAGAGGCUAAAGUGAAUUUCUUUUUAGUUAAUUGAGUCUGACAAAACCUAGUCUUGUUGUAUACUGUGAUAUAUAGACAGAUAAUAAAUAUAAUUUCCAAACUUAAACAGCGUUAAUACAGCACAACCAGUUUAGGGCACUGUUUUGGAAUUAAAAGCCUAAAGUAUUUAAUGAGAGAUGAAUGUCAACUGAGAAACAAAAAUGCUACUUGUAAUCUUCAUGUGACUAGCUUGUCACUUUCUUUUGAAUGUAAUUAAAACAACUUUGUGCCAACUGGCUGUUUGAAACAUUCCCAAAUACAUUGAAUAUAUGGGAAUUUAAAACUAUGAAAUUACUAGGCAAAAAAGAAAAAGAAAUAUUGUUUUGACUUUCCAUAAAAAAAGGUUGAAAUUGAAGCCAUGUUUGCUUAAUGUCUUGGAAAAUGAUGAUGUUCUUAUCCUUCAAAAGAAGACGUAGAAAUGCUCGUACUAGUUCUUGAACAUGUAGUGAAAGAAUGACCAAAUAUUUUCAGAUUGUGUUUCCAUGUUCUUCCUCAUCAAGAAUGCGAGUUGCGAACUGUGUCCGUGUCUCAACCCAUUUGAUCAACUCAUCUUCCUAGUGCUUGAAGCCAUGUUGGCCAAACCUACAUGAGAGAGGGCAAGUGUCACAUUAUUAAUCUCCUAUUCACACCAUCCAAGAAGUAUGUUGGAAGAGUGAUUAGAUACCCAUAGUUUUUAAUUUCAUUUUACAGACAAAAUUGUUUUUCCAAACAGAGUACCACAUGUUCUGGUUUAUCUAAUCUUCAAUGACUUUCUGGAAAACCAGUUGUGAAUGUUGGAGUGUUGUUAUACCUUUAACAUGUGGUCCAAAGGUUUCAAAUGCCCAUAAUUUGUAUUUCUUCUUUUGUGUAAUGUGCAAAUGGGUUGUACUUUGUGUAAACAACCAGCCACUGAGAAGUCUAGAAAUGCUACAUUGUAGCUGUUUCUAUUUCUCACAAUAAAACAAAGUUGUAUAACCCGAAACAACACCUGCUAACGGUUUGGUUUUGUUUUUUCUUUUUGUUUUUUGAAUCAAAGUUGUAUAUGCUUACAAUUUUCACUCAAGGUUUAUUUAUUAUUAUUUUUAGGGUGUAAUUUCAUGUAAAGUUACAUAAAUUUUGAUGUUAAAAGCUAAUUAGAUUUUAGUUAGUAAGGUUCCAUUUGUUGAAAUAAAAAACUUCUGUCGAGUCCUAUUAUUGAAGCAUCUAUACUCUCUGUUAAGUCCUCUUACUAUCUUUCUUCCCAUUCAUGCUUCCAAAAAUGCCCCAUUUCUUCCCCUUGCAAUCUUAAGCUUAAAACAGUUACAAUCUAUAGUUGCAGUGUGUGUCUGUUCACACACACACACGAAAGAUGUUUCUUGUUAUUGUUGGUGUUGUUGCUAUUGUUAAUUUUCCCAAUGUUAUAUACUUUCAGUUUUGAAGAAUUUAAAUGUUUUUUUUUUUUUUUUUCAUGUAAAAAUAAUAUAUAUAUAUAUAUAUAUAGGCCAAAUGUGCUUAGACUUGAUCGGCUUAAACUAUAGUCUAAUAAUCACAGUUUAAUGGUUUUCACUCACAUAAAUCAUAUUAGCUUUAGACAUCAAAUAAAGUAGGAGAAUACCCAGAAAGGUACUUUUUUCUUUGGAAUGUAAUUAAAAAAAAAAAAAAAAAAAAAAAACAGAA